GCAGCUGCCGGACACCAGGAGACGAUGGAAGGUCUAUAGUGUUACAGCUCUGACCCAGGAAGUCCCAGGGUCUUGCCUUCCAGAAGGGUCGCGGCUCUUCCCUCCCUCAGUCCAACGAACAGGAGCACGUCACCUCCCGCAGCUCGGGGAGCUGGCCAGGAACGUGUUACAGCCCGUUUCGCUCCUGUCCGCAGCUGGGUGAGGCAGCCAGGAAAAUAUUACAGCUCUUCUCACGCCCGCCAUUCAGCAGGUCCUGACUUCUUGUGUGACAUCCAGAAGAAAGGGGUUACACAGACAGCUGGAGGGUGAGCAAAGUGGAGAAGUUCUCAGCAGAGAGGAGACUGGAGUGAGUUGCCCCUACCCGCAGGUGCCAACUGUAAUACAUCAGUAGCUGAACAGCUCAUUGCCCUCAAGUGUUCUUGCUCAUGCCUGGCUGAGUUAUUGAAGAAAUUGCUCAGAUCUCAAGCCCUUGUAGAUCACUGGUCCUGGCAGAUGUUAUGGGGAACUCGCUAUGUUGCCCAGGCUGGUCUUGAACUCAUGGUCUCAGGCAGUCCUCCUGCCUCAGCUUCCCAAAGUGCUGGAAUUACAGGAAAGACAGCAUUCAAGGAACCACCUUGUACGCAGACACUGAAACCUCGCGAGACAACAAAACUGCUGACACCUUGAUCUUGGACUUCCCAGCCUCCAGAACUAUAAACCAGCAAAGAGUACAUAGAACAAACAUUUUUUUUAGAAGGAUUAAAUGGGACAAUUAAACAAUUUGAUCAGCAUAAUGUCCAGCUCAAGGAUCUUGGAGGUGGUGAGGCAGCCCAAGUGGAAAGGCAGCAGAAGGGGUAUCCUUGUUUUACCAAUUACUCAUAUGUAGGAGAUGGUGCAUUAAAUGAAAUAUUCUCUGCUCUCUCCUAACAUCUACCCCCUCACACCAAGAGGAAGGCAUGUCGCCUGAACCUUUGCAGUAUUCAAUUAAAGUUCUAUUCACACGGUAUUGCAGUUGUUUGCUUAUCUUUCUUUCUUAUUAGACUUAAAACUUCUGGAAACUAGAGGCUAUAUUACUUAUUUGCCUCAGAGUCCUGUUGGCCUAUCAAAUGGCACACCUUCAAUCCAAGAAUGAAUUAAUUAAAUAAAUGUGAAGAAAAAAAAAAUCCAAGUUGCUUAUUUUUGUUAAAUUUAUUUUUCCCCAAAAUAUUUACUGAGAAAAUGACUCUGGGAAGAUAGCAGAGUGGAAAGCCCCAGAAAUGUGUUUCCCCACCUAGACAACAACUGUACUGGCAGAAUCUGUUUGAUGUGACUAUUCUGAAGUUCUGAAUUGAAUAAAUAUGAAGAAAAUACAAA
rnacentral:lncRNA from 1 species